rnacentral:tRNA from 1 species
CAUAAAUGUAAGAAAAAUCUUACAGAUAGUACUUGCAGCUUAACGAUAUAAUUUUAUUAGUAGUUGAAGGA